CGUGCUCUUUCAGCAGCCCGAGCCAUCUUCAACCGCCGUGCACGCUUCUGGGACUGGGGGGAUGGUGGCCAAGACUUUUUGAACCACAUUUGGCCAUCAUCCGAUGAUCCAGACGCCCGUUUUUGCUGCGGGCAUUUCAAUGGAAAAUCAACGCCCUGCACCUACGCAGCCAAGACCGAGAUGGUUUUUCCGGCGGAGCAGAAACAGCCACAGAAGGCCUUCCCAGUAAGCUCUUGAACGUCCAGAGUGUGGAAUGUGCGUCUGUAGUGUACAAGAUAGCGGCUAUGAAGAUGGAGCAUCAUCGUCAGUAGCCUGCAGUGUCUGGGAAUCGGAUCCUUGAUCGUCGCCGUGCACUUAUCAGUCAGAUUACCGCUCGUCGUCACGUUUUGGCAUGGUCCCGGCAAUGCGCCUAGCUGCACACUGCAGUGGUAGUUAUCUGGAUCUGUAUGUGGCAAUUAGUAAAUCGGCUAUUAGUCAAAAUCUGACAAGGCAGUGAGAACUUUGAUUGCAUUCAACGGUCGUUUAAUGAUAAUUACAUCUUGUAUUAUAAGAAAAUAGGAGCCAAAAGUGCUAUAAAUUUAUUUACGAGGAACCGUUCCUCCGGCGAAUAGUGGUGAGCGUGUCAGCGAAGGGAGCACAAGUUGCUGGCAACAGCGUGCCAACGCAUCGAACCAAGCAUCAACGCCGCUGGGAGUUGUGAUACCUGUGAAGCACGGACGCGAUGGUUCGAGCUGUCUCAAAGCACAGUGCGAGAAGAAACCUGUGGGUGCGCGAGGACUCAUUCUGACAACAGACUUACGGCUCAUGAACAACUUUUUGCGAGUACUAUUGUACAUAAUUUGUAUUUUUACAAAUAAAUCCACUUUAUUUUUAUGCCA
rnacentral:lncRNA from 1 species